rnacentral:lncRNA from 1 species
CAAAAUAUCCAUGGAUCUCGUGAGUUAAUUGACCGAAAGAAGAGGUCAAUGAAGCAAUUUGGUCGGAAAUGAAUUGGAGAGAAGGCUCUUGAGGCGGAGGAGCACGACGGGUUGGAGGAGGAGCAGGCGCUACAUGAUCACCGUCAUGAUGAAAUGAGGAUUCCGAAAUUUCCCACUUUUUGGUACUCUUUUUGAGAGGACCGUUUUCAGUGAUGAAUCCGGUGGCUUCAAGAAAGUUCAUGAUGAGG